GACGAACGCUGGCGGCGUGCUUAACACAUGCAAGUCGAACGGAAAGGCCCUGCUUUUGUGGGGUGCUCGAGUGGCGAACGGGUGAGUAACACGUGAGUAACCUGCCCUGUACUGUGGGAUAACUUCAGGAAACUGGUGCUAAUACCGGAUAGGAGCUCCUGCUGCAGGGUGGGGGUUGGAAAGUUUCGGCGGUUGGGGAUGGACUCGCGGCUUAUCAGCUGGUUGGUGGGGUAGUGGCUUACCAAGGCUUCGACGGGUAGCCGGCAUGAGAGGGUGACCGGCCACAUUGGGACUGAGAUACGGCGCAGACUCCUACGGGAGGCAGCAGUGGGGAAUAUUGCACAAUGGGCGGAAGCCUGAUGCAGCAACGCCGCGUGCGGGAUGACGGCCUUCGGGUUGUAAACCGCUUUCGCCUGUGACGAAGCGUGAGUGACGGUAAUGGGUAAAGAAGCACCGGCUAACUACGUG
rnacentral:rRNA from 1 species